rnacentral:rRNA from 1 species
CAGUCGCCGCGGUAAUACGUAGGUGGCAAGCGUUGUCCGGAAUUAUUGGGCGUAAAGCGCGCGCAGGUGGUUUAAUAAGUCUGAUGUGAAAGCCCACGGCUCAACCGUGGAGGGUCAUUGGAAACUGUUAAACUUGAGUGCAGGAGAGAAAAGUGGAAUUCCUAGUGUAGCGGUGAAAUGCGUAGAGAUUAGGAGGAACACCAGUGGCGAAGGCGGCUUUUUGGCCUGUAACUGACACUGAGGCGCGAAAGCGUGGGGAGCAAACGGGAUUAGAUACCCCGGUAGUCCCUGUCUCUUAUAC